rnacentral:rRNA from 1 species
GUGGGGAAUCUUGCGCAAUGGGGGAAACCCUGACGCAGCGACGCCGCGUGGAGGAUGAAGGUCUUCGGGUUGUAAACUCCUUUUCUUGGGGAAAAUGGUGAUGGUACCCAAGGAAUAAGCCACGGCUAACUCUGUGCCAGCAGCCGCGGUAAGACAGAGGUGGCGAGCGUUGUUCGGAAUUACUGGGCUUAAAGGGCGAGUAGGCGUCCCGGUAAGUCAGAUGUGGAAUCUUUUCGCUUAACGAAAAAAUUGCAUCUGAAACUAUCGGGAUUGAGUCAGUGAGGGGAGGGCGGAAUUCCUGGUGUAGCGGUGAAAUGCGUAGAUAUCAGGAGGAAGGCCUGUGGCGAAGGCGGCCCUCUGGCACUGUACUGACGCUGAGGCGCGAAAGCGUGGGGAGCAAACAGGAUUAGAAACCCCUGUAGUCC